rnacentral:rRNA from 1 species
AUUGAACGCUGGCGGAAUGCUUUACACAUGCAAGUCAAACGGCAGCACGGACUUCGGUCUGGUGGCGAGUGGCGAACGGGUGAGUAAUGUAUCGGAACGUGCCCAGUCGUGGGGGAUAACGUAGUGAAAAUUACGCUAAUACCGCAUACGAUCUAUGGAUGAAAGCGGGGGAUCGCAAGACCUCGCGCGAUUGGAGCGGCCGAUAUCAGAUUAGGUAGUUGGCGGGGUAAAGGCCCACCAAGCCAACGAUCUGUAGCUGGUCUGAGAGGACGACCAGCCACACUGGAACUGAGACACGGUCCAGACUCCUACGGGAGGCAGCAGUGGGGAAUUUUGGUCAAUGGGCGAAAGCCUGAUCCAGCCAUUCCGCGUGCAGGAUGAAGGCCCUCGGGUUGUAAACUGCUUUUGUACAGAACGAAAAGGUUUCUACUAAUACUAGGAGCUCAUGACGGUACUGUAAGAAUAAGCACCGGCUAACUACGUGCCAGCCGCCGCGGUAA